CAGUAACUUUAGGGGCAUGGAGCGGUCUCUGGUGAAGUUCUCUUGGGUUGUUUUCAGCCCAAUAGCGAUAAUUUUGCUUAUUCACGUUUCCAGAAAGGUGGAAGUGGGCCUCGUCACUGCUGAAAAAAGUUGACGGUUCGGGGAUGCGGUUCAACAUUUCCUGGCAGCAAUUCCUGCGAUUUUCAAAGUCUUCUUGUGGAACCAGUUUCUUCCAAUGCUUCAAUCCAACGCCUGAUUGCCUUGCCAUCAGGGAUGGGACCAUGACGUGGAAUGUUGAAGUGCAGGCGGAAGGAGCGCUGAGUGGCGACGACAGAACGGCCAUUUUCGAGAAACGUGCGCACUGCAAAGCCGCGAUGUUCUCCCGACCAAGGCAUGGCUGCUUCUGAAAACGGCGGUGUUUGUUGGUCGCAACGAGACCACACACAUCUUACCAUCAUCACUACAGCCGUUGCUCGCGCCUUUCAAAACUCGGGCAUUUGAUU